GAUUGACCCAUCAACUUUCAAUGAAGACUCGGAAGAUGAUGGGAGUGAUCAUUUUUCUGACAUUGAUGAUGCUGAGGUAAAUGGAUAUCUGCACACUGAGAAAGAGAAGGCACUUAAAAAGAUUAUAUGGGAAGAAAUGAACAAAGAGUAUCUUGAGGAACAAGCAGCAAAGGAA